UACGUAGGGGGCAAGCGUUAUCCGGAUUUACUGGGUGUAAAGGGAGCGUAGACGGCGGUGCAAGCCAGAUGUGAAAGCCCGGGGCUCAACCCCGGGACUGCAUUUGGAACUGUGCUGCUAGAGUGUCGGAGAGGCAGGCGGAAUUCCUAGUGUAGCGGUGAAAUGCUUAGAUAUCACGAAGAACUCCGAUUGCGAAGGCAGCUCACUGGACUGCAACUGACACUGAGGCUCGAAAGUGUGGGUAUCAAACAGG
rnacentral:rRNA from 1 species